rnacentral:rRNA from 1 species
AUGAAGCAGACCGUGGUGAUGUACCCCGGCGCCGGCGUCGGCCACGUUGGCCCCAUGACGGAGCUCGCCAACGUCUUCCUCAAGCACGGCUACGACGUCACCGUGGUGCUCGUCGAGCCGCCUUUCAAGUCGACAGACUCCGCCGCCACCGCCAUCGAGCGCAUCGCCGCCUCCAACCCUUUCAUCUCCUUCCAUGUCCUCCCGCCCCUCCCUGCGCCAGACUUUGCCGCCUCCGGCAAGCACCCUUUCCUACUCAUGCUCCAGCUCUUGCACGAUUAUAACGAGCGGUUGGAAGCGUUCCUCCGUGGCAUCCCCCGGAAGAGCUUGCACUCUGUUAUCCUCGACAUGUUCUGCGUCCACGCCACCGACGUCUGCGUGAAGCUCGGCGUCCCGGUCUACACGUUCUUCGUCGGGGGCGCCUCGUGCCUGUCGGUCCUAACCCAGGUCCCGGCAGUGAUCGCCGGCAGGCAGACGGGCUUGAAGGAACUCGGGGACAUGCCCCUCGAUUUCCUCGGCGUCCCGCCGAUGCCAGCGUCUCAUCUCAUCAAGGAGCUGCUGGAGCACCCCGAGGAUGAGAUGUGCAAGGCCAUGACAGACGUCUGGAAGCGCAACACGGAGACCAUGGGCGUUAUGGUGAACACGUUUGAGUCAUUGGAGAGCCGGGCGGUGCAGUCUCUCAUGGACCUCCCCGGCAGGAAGCUGCGUCCGAUCUACUGCGUCGGGCCGUUGGUCAGCAAGGGCGCCAAGGAUGCCUCCGACAAAGCAGAGAGGAACGAGUGCCUUGAGUGGCUCGAUGCGCAGCCCGACCGCAGCGUCGUGUUCCUCUGUUUCGGGAGCAUGGGCACGCUCUCGGCGGAGCAGCUCAAGGAGAUGGCCGUUGGGUUGGAGCGGUCUGGGCAGCGGUUCCUGUGGUCCGUGCGCAACCCGGCCGGAAGCAACAACCCGAAGAAAUACUUGGAGGUGCGCCCCGAGCCGGACCUUGACGCGCUGCUUCCUCAAGGGUUCCUGGAGCGGACCAAGGGCAGGGGCCUCGUCGUCAAGUCAUGGGCGCCGCAGGCGGACGUGCUCCGCCACCGCGCGACGGGCGCGUUCGUGACGCACUGCGGAUGGAACUCGGUGCUGGAGGCCGUUGCGGCCGGGGUGCCGAUGCUGUGCCUGCCGCUGGAGGCGGAGCAGAAGAUGAACAAUGUGUGCAUGACGGAGGACAUGGGCGUCGCCGUGGAGCUGGAGGGAUACAUGGCAGGUUUUGUCAAGGCAGAGGAGGUGGAGGCCAAGGUGAGGCUGGUGAUUGAGGGCGGGGAUGGGAGGCAGCUCAGGGCCCGGGCGGCUGCUCGCAGGGAAGAGGCCGAGGCGGCGCUGGGGGAAGGGGGCUCGUCGCGGGCGUCGUUUGCCCAGUUUCUGUUGGACGUGGACAAUCUCGGAAAGCAGCUCGGCGAGUGA